rnacentral:misc_RNA from 1 species
AAGAAAAAAAGAAAAGAAAAGAAUUGAAGAGCUACAUUUUUCAUUGAUGAGUAGCCAAGUUAAAAAAAAAAUCGAAAGAAAAGAAAAUUGAAAGAGUGUUGGAAAUUGCAUUUGUGGAAUUUUCGAUUUGGAAUUGUUGGGUUAUCAUUGUAUUUGGACAUUGGUAUUAUUGGGUUGUUUUUUGUAGAGAUUGCAAUUGUUGAAAUCUUAUCUUGGAUGUUAGAUUUGAGCGUAUUGGUGAGAAGUAUUGGAACAUAUAGCGCCAAGUUGUGAAGUGUUUGGAUUGAAAAUUGUUGAGUGAGUUGAUUUUGGAGUUUUCAUUUCUUGCUUCUAGAGUCGCAUUUCAUUUUCUUGCUAUUUCAUUUUGUUCGUUUUGUUUGUGAGUAUCUUGUUGGAGUUUGGCACUAGUUACCUCGUUAAUUGAGGGUUGAUUAGUUCUUCCAAGGACUAAAGGAAAGUAAAGAGAGGUAGAAGUGAGACCUAAGAAGGAAAAAGCCUGCGUUUGUGUGAAACACGAGGAGAGUGACAUCCUUGAGUGUAAAAACAUGAGAGAGUGUUAUGAGGUAUAUUUUUCUAAUAUUUUUAUUACAGAUUGUGUAAACAUGUCUCAUAGAAAUAGUGAGGAAGAUUAAGAAUUUGAGCAAGCAGACAAGAUACUUGGCAAUUUUAUGAAGAAGUUGGAGCAAAAGACGAGAUCUAAUGAUAGGAGACCACAUAGGAGUGUUGUGGUUCUAUCCUUAAGAAAUUCUGAAAACAAACAUCAUGUAAGAUAGGAAGUUGAGGGAAGGUUUAAUGGAAGAAGGGAAGAGUGGUCACUAUUAUCAAUGGCGCGCCUCAAGCGCAUGUGGCAUUGCCCGAAGGAAGGAAAGGCGCGGCACAUCACUAAGGAGCACCGAGGCAUGAGGCACAGAAAGACGCACCCCAUGGAGCCCACAUGCAAGGAAAAAAAAGUUAGGGUUUCUUUUAAAAGCUAACAACUAGCAAUUAGCCACCAAAGAAAGAA